rnacentral:rRNA from 1 species
UGCAAGUCGAACGGCAGCACGGACUUCGGUCUGGUGGCGAGUGGCGAACGGGUGAGUAAUGUAUCGGAACGUGCCUAGUAGCGGGGGAUAACUACGCGAAAGCGUAGCUAAUACCGCAUACGCCCUACGGGGGAAAGCAGGGGAUCGCAAGACCUUGCACUAUUAGAGCGGCCGAUAUCGGAUUAGCUAGUUGGUGGGGUAACGGCUCACCAAGGCGACGAUCCGUAGCUGGUUUGAGAGGACGACCAGCCACACUGGGACUGAGACACGGCCCAGACUCAUACGGGAGGCAGCAGUGGGGAAUUUUGGACAAUGGGUGAAACCCUGAUCCAGCCAUCCCGCGUGUGCGAUGAAGGCCUUCGGGUUGUAAAGCACUUUUGGCAGGAAAGAAACGUCAUGGGCUAAUACCCCGUGAAACUGACGGUACCUGCAGAAUAAGCACCGGCUAACUACGUGCCAGCAGCCGCGGUAAUACGUAGGGUGCAAGCGUUAAUCGGAAUUACUGGGCGUAAAGCGUGCGCAGGCGGUUCGGAAAGAAAGAUGUGAAAUCCCAGAGCUUAACUUUGGAACUGCAUUUUUAACUACCGAGCUAGAGUGUGUCAGAGGGAGGUGGAAUUCCGCGUGUAGCAGUGAAAUGCGUAGAUAUGCGGAGGAACACCGAUGGCGAAGGCAGCCUCCUGGGAUAACACUGACGCUCAUGCACGAAAGCGUGGGGAGCAAACAGGAUUAGAUACCCUGGUAGUCCACGCCCUAAACGAUGUCAACUAGCUGUUGGGGCCUUCGGGCCUUGGUAGCGCAGCUAACGCGUGAAGUUGACCGCCUGGGGAGUACGGUCGCAAGAUUAAAACUCAAAGGAAUUGACUGGGACCCGCACAACCGGUGGAUGAUGUGGAUUAAUUCAAUGCAACGC